rnacentral:other from 1 species
AGCUUUCACCUGGUGUCAGCAAUUUUCUUUCAUUAGGGGGAAUGGGGAAGGUACGAAACAGCAGCAGGCUUUUAAACUUUAGGCAGGUGUGCCUCUUGAACUUACUGUCUUAUUUCACUUCAUCCUCCAAGGUGUGCACUCACUUGGGGUGCCCACCUUUUAAGUGCAAGAACAGCGAACAGGCAAC